rnacentral:misc_RNA from 1 species
GUGAAUCAUCAAAUUUUUGAACGCGAAUUGCGCUUCCUGGCAUCCCGGGAAGUAUGCCUGUUUGAGGGUCAGUAUUAACAACAAAUCGGUUUGGUUGCAAAUUGUGACGUUUCCGGAGUUUGGGCUUUCUCAACUUUUUUGGUCAAGGGGCUUAAAAUUGACCUUAUUUGCGCAUUUUUAGACGUACAUAAAUUUUUUUUUUAUUUUUCUAUCUUUAUUCCCAAAUUCUUAUUAGAGU